rnacentral:hammerhead_ribozyme from 1 species
AGCCGAAACAGCGGGAUAACCCGCUGUCUGCCGGGGAUGGCCGCCCGGCACUGACGAGGCAGGCUGAA